ensembl:lncRNA
CAGGCGAGGGAGAACUUUGUUGUCAUCCAUGCCAAGAUGUGCAGCAGCUCCUAUUAGGGAGUGCGGAUUGCCGUGGAGAGGCUUGGAGGUCUGCAAAAGGGUGACAUGAGAAAAGGAAGAAGUGGCAUCAAAGGGCCAAUACUUGCUAACAAGUUAUCGCGAAGCCAAGCAGUGCUGCUCUACAUGUUCCGCCCAGGAGCUUCCUACCCCCAGGGAGUGAAUGGCAAGAUGCUGCAUUUUGCCCCAGAUACGCAUGGUUUGCCCACUUUGCACCCAGAUGCACUGUGCAGAGGCUCCCAGGCUGGGCAGAGCCUGCAGUCCUGCAAGCAGGGGCAACAGAGCUGAGUCAGGAAGAUGCGUUCAGUGAGGCUGAACAGUGGGGAUGCUAUCUCACCCUUAACUGACAGGGUCUCAGAAGCACACCCUCCCAGACGCCACAAGCAGUACAGCAAUCACAUCUAGUCCUGCAGCAGCGCUUCUCCAGGGCUCCACCUUGCAAACGACAGGGAAGCCAUGCAGCUCGUUCAGUCCCUGCUGUGGCUAAAAAAGCACUGUCAAACACUUUUUACAAUCCCUCAGUGAACGUUAGCAGCUCUGCACUGCUGCUCAGCUCCUGAAAAUGCACAGAAGUGUGCCACGUAGCCGUUAGCAUGAAAUGCUUCACGUGUUUACAGCUACGCCGUGAUUCCCCCACUCGCGGGAGGAGAGCAAAGCAUCAGCAAGCCUGCAAAGGUAACAGUCUCAUUCCUCAGUCUGCCUAGUGGAAAUGAGUGGGAUCUCAGGUCGAGCCGUGACAAACCCCGGCAGGUAACGUGUCAAGAAAAUCUCUGUACGGAGAAAGUACUCUUUGCUCUGCCACACUGCAGAACUUCUCUGGAACUCAGACGAAUUGUUCCAGAUUAAAAUGGGAACGAAUAAGAGUGGAAUGUUUUCAUCAUUUGCUGAAAGACCUCGUCGUGCUAUGAUCACGGACUGACCUUCAGCCUUGGCCAGGUGACCCCCUGGGAAAGGACAGGCUACAGCCUAGUUCUCAGGUGAUUAUGAAAGUCAAAUAGUUAGAGAGUAACGAAUGUACUGAAAACAGGCUGAAAAACAUUCUGCAGUGAAACCCCACCUUCAUCUCCCUGCUGCUGGAAAAGCAAAAAGCACACAGAUAACGCAAAAAGCACCCAGAUCAAUCUCCCUAUUACUGCUGUGAACAGCCCUUACUGAAAUCUCCACCUCUGUUUUCAGAGAGCAGAAAAAAGACCUUUAGCGUGCUUGCUUUGCAGGGACACUCUAACGUGUUAAGAUAUUAAUUAUCUAACUUAUUAAUGAAUCCCACCACGAGGUGAGAAGGAGAAGCGCGUCACAACCUGUAAUUUGAAGUGUCACUUAAGUCCCUAAUUCAGAUCUAGAGGCCACGUGCCUAACUGUCAGGGCCCCAGGACGGCCCUAACGAGGCCGGCUGCGCUAACGAGGCAACGACUUCCAGGUGCCGCGGCCGGCCGGGCACAGCUGCGCCUCGUCGGGAGCCCCGGGCGGGGCCCGCCCCAAAGCCUCUUAAGCUCCUCCGGAGGCUGCCGGGAGCCACGGGGGAGUUCUUGCGGUUCUCCCCGAGAGACGGAGGGGGCUCCGGUUCCUUUGACCGCUCUUAGCGCUGCUGGAGCUGGGAAGCGGCUGCUGUGAGACCUCUCGCGGUAAGGAUCCGCCCAAACCGGUGUGAGCCGUUUUGGUAGUAACGGGACCGUGCAGGCGGCGAGGGCUCGGGAGCCGCGAGGAUCUCUUCGGCUGGAGCGGGAGGCUGCCGGGCUCCCGGACCCCGCUCUUCCCGGGGCCGGCGUAGGGCUGCCGCCGGGCUUCCCCGGCUGUUUGCUGUCGAUACAGCGUCGCCGCCCGGCUCCCAUCGCGUUUUCGGAGGGAGCUGCCGCUCAGGUCCUUAAGUCCUACCGCAGCCCCGGGGUGCUCUGAGCCUCCCUCUUCCUAGGGUUGUUUGUAGCGGGUGCUUCGGUUCUUCAGGCUCUCAUCGGCUGAGCGAGUGUUCCGGCAGAGCCUCUCCUCGCUCCAAAGCGGUGAGCUCGUGGAAGCGGUGAGCGUUGGGGAGUCAGCUGGUAAGAUCUCUCUUCUCGGGGUUUAUGUAGGGCUGUUGCUCGGCUACCUCUGCACCUUCGGGAUCGGCACGGCGCCGCUUCUGGGCUCCCGCGUGGCCUUUUAGAGAAGAGCCGGCACGAGGCCGCUGCCCGACGGCUCGAGACCGAGCGCGGCCCCGGGGCGGCCUCAGCCCCCGAGGAGGGUUCUACUGGUGCUCCAGCCCCCCCGUUUCCAGCGGUGGGAGCGAGCAGGAUGGGAACACUUGUUUUCUUUUUUUCUCCCCCUUCCUUCACGUGGGACUUCAGGAGCACGGUUUUGUGCCUACCGUGGAGACCUGGUGGGGCAGCUUGCAUGACCGGAAUGCUGUUGUGGAUGGCUUUGUUCCUUUUAGGAAAGACAGACCGGCCAGGUGGUGGAGUCUCUCUUCCAGUGAGAGAAUGGAAAUGUAUCGAGCUCUGCCUCGGGGUGAAUGAAGAACUAGCGGAGCGCUUGCAUGUGAGGCUCAAGAGGCAGGUAAAUGUGGGUGACAUCACUGUGGGUGGUAUCUCUACUGGCAGGAGACCUGCAGGGUUGAAUGAGGAACUCAAGAUGAACUUGAAGGGGAAAAGGAAGACUUGGGCUAAGGAAGACGAUGACCCUCUCAGUAUCACCUUUGGGAAGGGAGGUCAAGGCUAAUAGAAGUUGGUCAAUGGGAGAAAGGAGACUAGAGCGGGCCUCUGCUUUACAAGGUGGAGGCCCUGGUAAUAGAGUAUGUGCUGAAUGUAUUUUUGGUUUCAGUGGUCGCUGCUGAGUCUGCUCCUUGGGAUCCCUGGAUUCUGGAGGAAAUAGUUUUAGAGGAAGGAUGACUUCCUCUUGAUUGUGGAGGAGCUGGUCAAAGGUCAUUUAGGCAAAGUGGGUGCCAGCACAAAUGCCUGAGCUGGAAAGGGAUAUGCCUGUGUGUGCUGAGAGAGCUGGCAGAAGUGACUGCCACAUAGCUCUCUGUCACGUUUCCUCUGUUCUUUCCUAUAGGAAAGGUGCCCAAAGACUGGAGGAUAGCUGAUGUCACCUCAGCCUUCGGAAAGGGUGAGGAGGAUGGCCUGUGUGUAUGGGAACUGUUGAAUCACAGCCUGAACCUUUGAUUCCUCCACCUGAGGAGAGUGCCGAGUCAGCUGCAGGGGCACAGGUGAAUGCAAUUUCACCUGAGUGAGGGGAAGAGGUGGAGCCUGGCUCCAUCCCUCCUAGAUGCCAUUUAAGGGCUGACUCCCAAGGAGGAAGGAUCUCUGGCUGGAGAUCCUCUUGGAGCCCUUCUGUAAGCCCAGGACAUGGGUAAGAUCUUUAUUUCAUUUCUCCUUUGUAAUGUGUUAUUCUCUGUGGUCCAAUACCUGUAUACCUGUUUGUCAUACAGCUGUGCAACUGUAGGUUGGUUAGCCUCACCUCCCUUCCUGGAAUGGCAAUGUAACAACUGCUUCUGGAUGUCAUCUCCAAGCAACUGGAAGAGAAGAAAUGUCUAAGGAGCGGUCAAGGGUGAAGGCUGCAGGGAGGAUUGGCUGGAAUACGUGAGCUGCUUUUUUCCAGUGCUGGGAUGAAGGAGGUGAGAGAUGGGGACCCACCAGUGGGUCCCCUGCUAGCAGAGGGCUGCCUUCUGUGUGGUUCACAGGUCUUCCUGCAGGUUCAGGGCUGGAGUGAGGUCUGAAGGUGUGUGGCAGGUUCUCUCUUGGAGGAAUGGAACUGAUGAAGUGCUGGAGUUUGGGGUCCUGGUGCAGCUGUUGUCUGAAGGUCCUGAUCCUGGGCUGGGAGGUGCAGCGCUGGAUCUGCUGAAGGAGCAGAGGCAAGAGCUGAAUUUCUGCAUGGCAGCAUCUCUUGAAUGCAGUAGAGCUUCCCCAGCUUGAAGAUGGGUGUGCUAUCCAUAUGCCAGAGGAGUGGCAUCAACUGUCUUGUAAUAAACUUCUCAUUUCCUUUUUUAAGAUGAGCCCACUGCGACCUCUCUGGUUUCUUACUAGUUAACUCAGGAGCGUGCUUCUCAGAGAAACUCUUUGUGUUGAAUCUCAGUGAGUGAGUUACUGUGAACCUUCCUCCCAAACUGAGACUGAACUCGAGCAGAAGUGACAAUAUGUUGUACUCUGCAUGUAGCUCUUUAACAGAAGACAUGGAACUCUGGGGUUGUGCCUUUGUGUUAAAUGUUUGCAUGCAGUGUAUUGCAUCUUCAUGUGAGAGUCUGCAGUUAAUAAACUUUGCUUUUAAUUAGUUAAUGAUCCAGUUCUCCUGUGAUUGUAGCACAACAGCCAGAUAAUGCAGGAUAGAAAAUGGAGCUAGUUAACUUAAAUAUGAUACUAUUCUACUCACUUGACUUAUCUGUGUGUUAGUAGGUUUACUCAGUGCAACCAAGCGUCUGCAGGCCAUUAACCUGUUGCUCCUGGUGAUAACAGGACAUAGACAUUCCUCUGGAAAAAAUAACAAAAAUGUAUAUUAGUGACAUGACAUGAGAGGAUAUACAAACUCAG